rnacentral:lncRNA from 1 species
AUGGGAGCAACUCAGGCACAGUCUCCUUCUGUUCCCUAUCUCCCCAACAAAACCCAGAGUAAGGCUCCUGCUGAUUCCCUUAUGGGGAGCAGGAGCUGCCACGUGGAUGCCGGCACGCAGACCUCUUCCUUCCAUUGCCUGCCCUUGGCACAUCCUGGAAAACUGCACGGUAGCACUCUAGUUUGUCAGUCAAGAACACCAGACACAGAUCUACCAGACAAACAAACGCAGUAAAAGGGAGAAAGGAAGAGCUCUUGGGCAACGGUGUUUGACCUCGGAAAGAAAGCAGCAAGGCAUGAAGGCAGGAGGUGUUUGGGGAGAGCUUUGUGGAAGAUCACUGCGUCUGCUUUGCUUUUCAGAGGAAAUUAUAGCAAGGAGGAGAAGUUAUUUCAGACUGACAGACACCAAAUGUCAGCAAUCAUGAGAUAAUCAGUGCAGGUUUUAUUAUCUUUAAGUGGUUUGAAAGUCUGCAGAUUUCAGACAGCUUCAAAAUCUAGAGGAAGACUGUGUCUCAAAGACAGUCUUAUGAAUAUUACAUACACGUGCUCUGUGUAGCAUUGCACAUAUUUUUAUGUGCUAAAUUCUCUAGCAGCUGUCUCCGCAGCUUCUUCUGCAGUGCCCCUUUGCGCUGAACUCCUCCUUGAGCAGCCUUGCAAACCUCUGCCCUUUUUCUUUCAAGUCUUUACAUAAAGCCCCUUCUUUGUUUCUGACAUAGCCCCGCUCUGUAAUGAGCUCCAGAGAAAAUACACUCUGUCAGUCCAGAAAGUCACUGAAGUAGCUGUGCUCAGACAUGUUCAAGGUGACUGCUAAAUAUUAAAGAAAUUCCUUGUAAUGUAAACUAGACUUUGCUAGAAAGCUGUAUUACUGAGGGGUGGUGCUCAGAGCUGCCGGGAGCGACUGCUGGGGCAUCACCAACAGCCCUUGUUCUCUGCACACACAGCGUGCCAAGGAGGACGUGAAGCACGGACAUGUGACAUGGGGUGAUUGCACUGCGGGGUGACAUGCAGCACUGCAUCUGUCACAGCCAUCACAGCCACCGCACACCUCGGAGCGGGCGUCAUUAAUGUCAACGCUACACCCACAGUGCACCCCAUCUUCGAAAGGACCCUUAACAAGCUCUUUCUUUCCAAAACAGCAUUCUCCCAGCUCAGUGAUAGCUGGUGAUAUUGGCAGGUUUGCUAAGGGGAUGCGAGGGGAAACUAAGGGAAGUAAUUAGGGUCCUGCCCACAGGAAC